GCAUCAGUAGUUUAGUGGUAAAAUCCAUCGUUGCCAUCGAUGGGCCCCGCGUUCGAUUCGCGGCUGAUGAA
rnacentral:tRNA from 1 species